CAAAUUCAGAUGUGCUUGAGCUGAAGGACAAGAUGAAUGAGCUGAUCAACAUCAUGCAAGGUUUUGCAGUUGGUCAGAAAGCUCUAGCUGACAAGGUUGAGAAGCUCGAGCGGGCUUCAGCGGCAAAUAGUGGUGUUAACCUGGAUGGUGUCUCCAACCAGGGGGCUGGGUGGUUCCAGAGAUGGUGGCAAGAGGACAACGGUGCCGGUGGUGACUAACAAUG
rnacentral:lncRNA from 1 species